rnacentral:rRNA from 1 species
AUGGGAUCAAUUCCCAGCCGGCCCCAUUUUUGCUAUGUUUUCCUGUUUAUUUUGCACCUCAACCGCCAGGCCAAAUCUCCUCGUGGGCGGCUGCACUGUGUUGCUAUCCGGCCCACGUAUGCUUUUUUCCCUUCUGUGGUUUUAGUAUUCUUCCAGUGUAUGCAUAAUUACAGGAAUGUCGUUUUCCUGUUUAUUUUGCACCUCAACCGCCAGGCCAAAUCUCCUCGUGGGCCGCUGCACUGUGUUGCAAUACGGCCCACGUAUGCUUUUUUCCCUUCUGUGGUUUUAGUAUUUUUCCAGUGUAUGCAUAAUUACAGGAAUGCCACUCUUUUGUAUUGUUAA